AGCUCAGUACUGAAGGUGGGUGUGCAUUUCUGCCCCUAAAAAAAGCCCAUAAAUGGGUAAUGCAUACAGAUAUACAGAUUGAAGCAGUGUGGCAGCCAGGAGGUGGGGAAGGGGAUGGCUGAAGUGGAUAUAUGGAGACGAAGACCAUGACAAGGGGUAUCACUGCUAAAGAUGGCCUGGGCAUUACAUCUGCACAGCGAUGGGAGGACACCACGAGAGCCCAGCUCUGUGAACCCUCAGUGUCACCUACCAACCACAAGUGAGCCUCUGCAUGACAGCAAGACCCCCAAACCAAUAGCAGUGGGCAAGGCUUUUGUGGUGACUUGCAAGAGAAGUCAAUGUCAGAAGGAAUGUAAUGAAAUAUUCAUUCCUUCUGUUAAGGAAAUUCAGAGAAAGGCAGGAAGAAGGAACCAAAUGUGAGAUCAAGACAGGAAGAUGUGUCCUGCUCAUUUCAUUUGCAUUUCUGUAGCCCAGAGCAGGGAGAGGAGAGCUCUGGCUCCUCACCAUCAGGCUGAGGACAGCAGCAGAAGGAAAGUCCCAAAGAGCAUGAAGAGACAAGAAACUCCUCCUGAACCUGCAAGGGAGAAAAAUGUGGGUUUAUCUGAAUUUCAGCAAAGGGAGAACAUUGUGACAAGAAAUACGUCUUUAUUGUCUCUCACAUAUGAGGGCACAGAAGCAGGCAAGAAGCCUGUCUACUGAUUUUCCCCCUAAGUCCUGCUGCCCGCUCUGGCAGCCCCAUCUCACCGCCUGCCCGGUGCCUCCCAUCAUUGAGCAGGAGCUGCCUUCUGAGCCCAGCACCAACAAAAUCAGCUUGGAGGAGGCACAUCCUUGUUCCCCCUCGAGGCAGCAGGACACUGGCGAUGCUGGAGGCAACGCCCACCUCCGUUCCUUCGCCUCGCUCCAUGCGAUUACCGAGAGGCACUGGCUGGCUGAAUUAAUGCUCAAGUGUUCCCCAUCAAAAAUGUUCUACGGGAGUGCAAAGCACUAAUAAAAUUGUUCCCCAUAUGGGAUUUUC